UUUAUGGAGAGUUUGAUCCUGGCUCAGAGUGAACGCUGGCGGCGUGCCUAAUACAUGCAAGUCGAACGAUGAAGCUUCUAGCUUGCUAGAAUGCUGAUUAGUGGCGCACGGGUGAGUAACGCAUAGGUCAUGUGCCUCUUAGUUUGGGAUAGCCAUUGGAAACGAUGAUUAAUACCAGAUACUCCCUACGGGGGAAAGAUUUAUCGCUAAGAGAUCAGCCUAUGUCCUAUCAGCUUGUUGGUAAGGUAAUGGCUUACCAAGGCUAUGACGGGUAUCCGGCCUGAGAGGGUGAACGGACACACUGGAACUGAGACACGGUCCAGACUCCUACGGGAGGCAGCAGUAGGGAAUAUUGCUCAAUGGGGGAAACCCUGAAGCAGCAACGCCGCGUGGAGGAUGAAGGUUUUAGGAUUGUAAACUCCUUUUGUUAGAGAAGAUAAUGACGGUAUCUAACGAAUAAGCACCGGCUAACUCCGUGCCAGCAGCCGCGGUAAUACGGAGGGUGCAAGCGUUACUCGGAAUCACUGGGCGUAAAGAGCGCGUAGGCGGGAUAGUCAGUCAGGUGUGAAAUCCUAUGGCUUAACCAUAGAACUGCAUUUGAAACUACUAUUCUAGAGUGUGGGAGAGGUAGGUGGAAUUCUUGGUGUAGGGGUAAAAUCCGUAGAGAUCAAGAGGAAUACUCAUUGCGAAGGCGACCUGCUGGAACAUUACUGACGCUGAUUGCGCGAAAGCGUGGGGAGCAAACAGGAUUAGAUACCCUGGUAGUCCACGCCCUAAACGAUGGAUGCUAGUUGUUGGAGGGCUUAGUCUCUCCAGUAAUGCAGCUAACGCAUUAAGCAUCCCGCCUGGGGAGUACGGUCGCAAGAUUAAAACUCAAAGGAAUAGACGGGGACCCGCACAAGCGGUGGAGCAUGUGGUUUAAUUCGAAGAUACACGAAGAACCUUACCUAGGCUUGACAUUGAGAGAAUCCGCUAGAAAUAGUGGAGUGUUUGGCUUGCCAGACCUUGAAAACAGGUGCUGCACGGCUGUCGUCAGCUCGUGUCGUGAGAUGUUGGGUUAAGUCCCGCAACGAGCGCAACCCCCUUUCUUAGUUGCUAACAGGUUAUGCUGAGAACUCUAAGGAUACUGCCUCCGUAAGGAGGAGGAAGGUGGGGACGACGUCAAGUCAUCAUGGCCCUUACGCCUAGGGCUACACACGUGCUACAAUGGGGUGCACAAAGAGAAGCAAUACUGCGAAGUGGAGCCAACCUUCAAAACACCUCUCAGUUCGGAUUGUAGGCUGCAACUCGCCUGCAUGAAGCUGGAAUCGCUAGUAAUCGCAAAUCAGCCAUGUUGCGGUGAAUACGUUCCCGGGUCUUGUACUCACCGCCCGUCACACCAUGGGAGUUGUGUUUGCCUUAAGUCAGGAUGCUAAAUUGGCUACUGCCCACGGCACACACAGCGACUGGGGUGAAGUCGUAACAAGGUAACCGUAGGUGAACCUGCGGUUGGAUCACCUCCUUUCUAGA
rnacentral:rRNA from 1 species